rnacentral:rRNA from 1 species
UACGUAGGUGGCAAGCGUUGUCCGGAUUUAUUGGGUUUAAAGGGUGCGUAGGCGGCUCCUUAAGUCAGUGGUGAAAUACUCUAGCUUAACUAGAGGGGUGGCAUUGAUACUGAGGAGCUUGAGUAGAGUCGAGGUAGGCGGAAUUGACGGUGUAGCGGUGAAAUGCUUAGAUAUCGUCAAGAACACCGAUAGUGUAGACAGCUUACUAGGCUUCAACUGACGUUGAGGCACGAAAGUGUGGGGAUCAAACAGG